CAAGAAUAAGAAUUCAAUUGUGGACCCCAAGGUGACAGUGGAGAUCCACGGCGUGAGCCGGGACGUGGCCAGCCGCCAGACUGCUGUCAUCACCAACAAUGGUAGGUGCCGGGCCCGGGCUGGGCUACUAGGGCUGGUGUUCAUGCUGUUGAUAUGGUGCCUGUCCCCCUAGGUUUCAACCCAUGGUGGGACGCGGAGUUUGCGUUUGAGGUAGUUGUGCCUGACCUUGCCCUCGUCCGCUUCUUGGUGGAAGAUUAUGAUGCCUCCUCCAAGAAUGACUUCAUUGGCCAGAGUACCAUCCCCUUGAACAGCCUCAAGCAAGGAUACCGCCAUGUCCACCUCAUGUCUAAGAACGGGGACCAGCAUCCAUCAGCUACCCUCUUCGUGAAGAUCUCCCUCCAGGACUAGGCUGGAGGAAGCCAGUGGGGUCCCCCCGAGUGGGCUGGGCCCUCUGUCCACAUGUGGGGACAGGGCUGGUGUGGCUGCUCCCAGCCUCUUGCUCAGAGCUAGGCCCCCAAACUGCCUUCAGCUCUAACAUAGUGUCUGCUGCUGCCUCCCCGGGGACCGGGAGCUAGCCCAGUCCCUGGAGCUGUCCUUCAUUCCGUUAGGAACAACACUGCAGCCCUCUCCACCCUCUGGCCAGCCGGUGGUCAAGGGUUUUUAUAAAAAUCACGAUAAGAUUAA
rnacentral:sRNA from 1 species